CCCGGGUAUUUUUCCAACUGGUUUUUGUUGUGUUCUUCGGGGGGGAAGUAAGCUAUGUAUUGGCGCCACCAUCAGGAUGGGAGGGAGGGUUACAAAGAUCUGCAUGAUCCUGGAUCUGAUUUCAAACCCUACAGGUCCCCUUUCAACCCAAAAAUCUAGACCGUGUGGAGAAAAUACAGGGUGUACCGCAUUCCAGAGAUCCCACGUUCCAGCCAAAAGAAUGCUACACAUUUGGCCUGAUUUACAGUCUGUUGGUCUUCAGCCGGAAUGUGGAAAGGCUGUUCCGUUGAGCGUUCUUUCGGCAUACCAAAUAAAACAAAGUUGAUUGUUUUUGGUUGUGGUCAUUUAACUAUACUAUGAGUCAUUAUAGAUGA